rnacentral:rRNA from 1 species
AGCGAACGCUGGCGGCAGGCCUAACACAUGCAAGUCGAACGAACUCUUCGGAGUUAGUGGCGGACGGGUGAGUAACACGUGGGAACGUGCCUUUAGGUUCGGAAUAACUCAGGGAAACUUGUGCUAAUACCGAAUGUGCCCUUCGGGGGAAAGAUUUAUCGCCUUUAGAGCGGCCCGCGUCUGAUUAGCUAGUUGGUGAGGUAACGGCUCACCAAGGCGACGAUCAGUAGCUGGUCUGAGAGGAUGGCCAGCCACACUGGGACUGAGACACGGACCAGACUCCUACGGGAGGCAGCAGUGGGGAAUCUUGCGCAAUGGGCGAAAGCCUGACGCAGCCAUGCCGCGUGAAUGAUGAAGGUCUUAGGAUUGUAAAAUUCUUUCACCGGGGACGAUAAUGACGGUACCCGGAGAAGAAGCCCCGGCUAACUUCGUGCCAGCCGCCGCAGUAA